rnacentral:rRNA from 1 species
UAGGGAAUAUUGGGCAAUGGACGCAAGUUUGACCCAGCCAUGCCGCGUGAAGGAUGAAGGCCCUAUGGGUUGUAAACUUCUUUUGUACGGGAAGAAACCCCUCUACGUGUAGGGGGCUGACGGUACCGUAAGAAUAAGGAUCGGCUAACUCCGUGCCAGCAGCCGCGGUAAUACGGAGGAUCCAAGCGUUGUCCGGAUUUAUUGGGUUUAAAGGGUGCGUAGGCGGAUUAUUAAGUCAGAGGUGAAAGUUUGCAGCUUAACUGUAAAAUUGCCUUUGAAACUGGUAGUCUUGAGUAUAGUUGAGGUGGGCGGAAUGUGUCAUGUAGCGGUGAAAUGCUUAGAUAUGAUACAGAACACCGAUUGCGAAGGCAGCUCACUAAACUGUAACUGACGCUGAGGCACGAAAGCGUGGGGAGCAAACAGGAUUAGAUACCCUGGUAGUCCACGCCCUAAACGUUGAAUACUCGUUGUUGGCGAU